rnacentral:lncRNA from 1 species
AUGUGAAGAACAGUGUUUCUCUCCUACAGAGGAUGCAGUGUCCAGGGCAUCAUCUAUGAAUGGAGACAGCCUUUACCGGACACCAAACCUACCAGCACCAUGAUCUUGAACUUUCCAGCCUCCUGAACUAUGGCCUACUGCUCUGUUGCCCAGGUUAGAGUGCAGUGGCUUGAUCAUAGCUCACUGCAGCCUUGAGCUCCUAGGCUCAAGCAGUCCUCUUGCCUCAGCCUCCUGAAUAGCUGGGACUACAGGUUCUAUUCUGAGGUACUAAGGUUAAGACCUCAACAUAUGAAUUCUGGAGGACACAAUUCAACCCAGAAGUCUACCUUGUAUUGGGUCCUCACAGCAAGGCUGCAAAACCCGGGGGGUUGGUGGCCCAGUCCCACCUCCCAUGAGCUAAUGAAUGUGGGGCUCAGGGAGGACUGACAGGACUAGAGUUGACAACCAUUCAUCCAACAAACAUUUACUACAUGAGGAAGAGAGGUGAUCAAGGCACUGCCCUUGUCCCCAGGAAGCUCGCCAGUGCAUGGGACUGCACAGGUGUCUUCACCUCUGCAUUAGGCAUUCGAUUUCAGGCCAUGGCUGAGCAUCCAUCCUCUCUCUGCUAAUUUUUUCCAAAAGUCAAGAGUUUGGAAGAACACUAAUGUGUUUUUCUUCCAGCCUUUCCUAUACAAAUGACAACAUCAUUACCCUCAGCUUUUAAAGUGCAAGUCUGUAUAGAGAUCCCAGAGUCAAGGAGGGCGCCUGAGUCAUUUGAAAUAAUUACCUUUUUUUUUUCCUGCCUGAGUCUUGCAUAUCUGUGAAUCAGCAAUGUGGAAACUGGGCUUCAAAAAAAUUAAGAGAGGCUUAAAGUGAGCAAAGCAGAGAAGAGCAUUGGCAAGAGCUGAGCGCUGCCACAGCAGGAACAUCAUGCCGAUCGUCAUCUAAGGGAGCUCAUGGCGCUGUCUGCCUCCUCUUAGCAACAUCCACACAGGCUGGUACAGUCAGAUCAUUGUGACUUGGACAGGGAUGAAAAUACUCAGCUGACACCAAUAGCUCCCAGCACAGCCAGGGUAUUCUAGAGGUGUGUGGUGUCAGGACAGCCUGUGUAGCCUCAUUUAUUUACCUGAGUCAUCUGAACAAAGCGGUAACUGGCUUUGCCUGGCUCUGGCAAGAACUCGCAACAAAGCCAAAGCCCCUUCCUCCACAGCCUUUGCUCCUGCAGCACAGCACUGGCAUCUUUUUAGCAUCAUAGACACUGUCACGUGGCAAUCAAUGACAGAUUAACUGUCCCUUCCCUGGGCCACAAGCUCUUCAAGGCGGGAGCCUCAGCCCAGUUUCUUCCAUGUCUCCAGUGCCCAGCACAGGGCCUGGCUUCUAGCUGGUUUCUGAUGAAUAAAUGAAUGGCUAUAGAGAUGUACUCUUCAAAACACAAGGGGCUUCUAUAGUGGCAACAUGUUCAGUAGCACAGUGCUGUAUUGGUUCUUUACAGCUUGCAGGACCCAAAGAAGGAAUGAUUUUUGUUUCCCGGGAAAGGUGUACCUCGUGGGGGCACUGCUCAAGGGAAGGUGCCCACAAGUUGGGGAUCAAGGGAGGCACAGGUUGAUCAAGGCCCCUGGAAUUGAAAUGGAGGUGUUCAUCCUGCGGAGGCUCCGAACAUCUGAGGCAGAGCCUCGAUUCUCCAGGAAAUUGACUUUGCCGGAGAACAAGGCUGGGGGAGGCAGGCUGUCCUAGGGGAGGAGUCGUAUUUCAGCCCCACUGAGACCCCAAAGGCGCACUCCCAUGCUUUACCCCAGCUGUCCACGAGGGGGCAGGCAGAGGCAAGAGAAGAGGAAAGCGGGCGGCUGGUCAGGCCCAGCACAUCCAGCCUGACAUCCCACACGCUGGGCCGCCUGACUCAGACAAAGCCAGGCCGCUCCUCCUGCCUGUUGUGGCCUCUGUGAUUUUAUGUGGUUUGGCCUGUGACAUCAGACACCACGCGACCAUGGUAACCAAAGUAUACAGCCUGGAGUGAAUGUUAAUAAACAGGAAAGAAACGA